rnacentral:rRNA from 1 species
UCAGGACGAACGCUGGCGGCGUGCCUAACACAUGCAAGUCGAACGGGGAUUUGUUUCGGCAGAAUCCUAGUGGCGAACGGGUGAGUAACGCGUAGGCAACCUGCCCUCCGGCCGGGGACAACACUCCGAAAGGGGUGCUAAUACCGGAUACGAAGUCUGUGCCGCAUGGUACGGAUUUGAAAGAUGGCCUCUAUUUAUAAGCUAUCGCCGGGGGAUGGGCCUGCGUCCGAUUAGCUGGUUGGUGGGGUAACGGCCUACCAAGGCGACGAUCGGUAGCCGGUCUGAGAGGAUGAACGGCCACAUUGGGACUGAGACACGGCCCAGACUCCUACGGGAGGCAGCAGUGGGGAAUCUUCCGCAAUGGGCGCAAGCCUGACGGAGCAACGCCGCGUGAGUGAGGAAGUUCUUCGGAACGUAAAGCUCUGUUGUUCCUGACGAACCUCCCCUCUAUCAACAACGGAGGGGACUGACGGUAGGGAACGAGGAAGCCACGGCUAACUACGUGCCAGCCGCAGC